GAGCAGACGCUUGGCAUCGAGCCCGUAUUCCUUCGUGAUCAGGUUCCAGGCAAGCUCGAUCGC
rnacentral:sRNA from 1 species